CCUACGGGUGGCAGCAGUGAGGAAUAUUGGUCAAUGGCCGUAAGGCUGAACCAGCCAAGUCGCGUGAAGGAAGAAGGAUCUAUGGUUUGUAAACUUCUUUUAUAGGGGAAUAAAGGUAUCCACGUGCGGAUAUUUGCAUGUACCCUAUGAAUAAGCAUCGGCUAACUCCGUGCCAGCAGCCGCGGUAAUACGGAGGAUGCGAGCGUUAUCCGGAUUUAUUGGGUUUAAAGGGUGCGUAGGUUGUAUUUUAAGUCAGCGGUGAAAGUUUGUGGCUCAACCAUAAAAUUGCCGUUGAAACUGGAAAGCUUGAGUGUGUGUGAGGUAGGCGGAAUGCGUGGUGUAGCGGUGAAAUGCAUAGAUAUCACGCAGAACUCCGAUUGCGAAGGCAGCUUACUAAGCCAUAACUGACGCUGAGGCACGAAAGCGUGGGGAGCAAACAGGAUUAGAUACCCCAGUAGUC
rnacentral:rRNA from 1 species